rnacentral:lncRNA from 1 species
GAAGGUUGACCUCCACCAGGAUGCUCCAAAAAAAACGCGAUGAGGCACCGAGAUAGAUUCAUGACUACGCUAUAUUUCCUAUGUCCGACAAAAAACACAUAACAAAUUACAAGAGCCGAGAUUGCAUUACUUCUUCUGUCAUCUUUCAGAGAAAAUGUUCUUCUAAUUGCUGGAUGGGAAGCUCUACUGCCUCAAGAGGAAAAAGUUUAGAUACAGAGCCUGCCUGCCACACUCUAAAGCUCGUCCUUCUUGUCGGAAGAAGAAGAAGCAUCCUUGCUAAUUUCCUCAUCGCCGGAGGCAUCCUUGUUCUCCUCAUCGCUGGCGCCGGCAGCUUUGCCCUCAUCCUCCUGCUACAGGUAAGAG